rnacentral:rRNA from 1 species
AACGAACGCUGGCGGCAUGCCUAACACAUGCAAGUCGAACGAGACCUUCGGGUCUAGUGGCGCACGGGUGCGUAACGCGUGGGAACCUGCCCUUAGGUUCGGAAUAACUCCCCGAAAGGGGUGCUAAUACCGGAUAAUGUCUUCGGACCAAAGAUUUAUCGCCUUUGGAUGGGCCCGCGUUGGAUUAGCUAGUUGGUAGGGUAAAAGCCUACCAAGGCGACGAUCCAUAGCUGGUCUGAGAGGAUGAUCAGCCACACUGGGACUGAGACACGGCCCAGACGCCAGCGGGAGGCAGCAGUGGGGAAUAUGGGACAAUGGGCGAAGGCUUGUCAAGUCAAUGCCGCGGGGAUGAGGAAGCCUUUAGGGUUGUAAAGCUCUUUUACCGGGGAUGAAAAAGAAGGUACGGGAAAAAUAGGCUCCGCAUACCUCCGUA